AAGCUGCUGUGGAUCUUUUGAACAGUGGUAUUGUUUAGCAGUCAAGGGUAUAAGCUUUGCACUGAAACACACCUGUGUGUGACCUCUGGCUCUGCAAAUAACUAGUUGGGUUAUUUGAACCUCAGUUUCUCCUUCAGUAAAAUGUACUGAAUAAAACCUACCUUAUAAAGUUGUUGGAAGAAUUCAAUGAAAAAAUUUCCCAGUCGUCUGCAUCUUGCUUGCACCAUUUUGACAUAUGAAAAUGCCACCUUUGCUGUUAUCCCUUUAAUGUUCUCUACAUUAACUCACUUUUGAAUAAACUUUAAAAGAUGAAUGGACAUAUAUCUCCUCCCUGGCAACAGAAUUUAAGUAUAAAAACAAAAGGAAUGGAGAGUAACCGAGAUUAUUAAGUUCCAGCUGGAAGAAAAGUUAUUUGGUGUUAUAGAUUAGCCCCCAAUCUGAGGCUUUCUUUCUUAUUUAACCAGGGGAAGUGAAAAAUUAUUAAAAGGGAAUGCUUUUUCACUAUUUCAGUUGAUGUAACUCCAUAUGUUGCUGAUGCACCACAUGAUACCUUCUCAGGUAUCCCCCAUGUCAUGGGCGUCUUACAAAGCUCAGAUGAAAUCUGUGAAGUUUUUGUGUCCCUUACUUGAUCAUGUGCAGGCACAAUAUCUGCUUCAAAAGUGCAGGUUUGCCAUAGAAUAGAGGGAAGGAGAGGCUGCUGUGCGUUCCCUCUGCCUAGUGCUUGAAUUUCCGCAAAGGAGCCUGAGGUCAAAUUCUAGACCCAACCUGGGAUCUCAAAUUAGGAAACCACUCCUGGCCUCGGGGAAGACGGGGAACCUCUGACAGAGCUCUCAGCAAGGAGGGUGUGCUGCUCAGUACAGGGGAAACUUGAAAGGGAGAAAACUCCCCUCCUGGGCUCCACCUCCUUGGAGUCUGUUAAGGGCUGACUAACUCCCAGAACCUCAGAAUGUGACUGUGCUCGGAGACAGGGGCUUUAAAGAGGUAAUUAAGGUACAAGGAGGUCAUUGGUGCAGGUCCUGAUUCGAUACAAUUUGUGUUUUAGAAGAGAUGAGCAAGCAGACACACCCAGGGAGGAGGCGGCAUCUACAAGCGAGGGAGGCUGCAGAGGAAGCCCACCCAGCUGACACCUUGAUCCGGGACUUCUGGUUUCCAAGACGCCUGACACCAGAAGUCAUUCGCUCAUUCUUUCAUGAACAGACAUCCGUUGAAGAGGGAGCACUGUUUUAGAUUCAAGAUACCUCUAUGAACACAUCAGACAGAGUCCCUGAUCUCACCUGCUCAUAUGAUCAGUGAAUGCAGCGCAUAAAACGGCCUGCUGAACCUCUUAGAGCUUCCUUCAAGAAGGUCCUGAGAGGCCGUGGCUGAUGGACUCCAAGAAACCCACCUUCUGGGACUCAACGUUCUCUACCUGGCUAGAACUGGGACUUCCAGCAACAGAAGAAGCAAAGGGGAUGCAAUGCCAUUUCAGUGGUUACAACAGGCUAUCUAGGAUUCCAUCUCGCUUGCAUACUUGCUUAGAAACUUCCUGCUGAUUUUAAAGAAGGAAUGAGUUGUGUUGAGAGGCCCAUGUGGCACGGAGCUGUGGGCUGUUGCCAGCCGGUGACCAGCAAGCAGCCAGGGCCCUCAGGCCUACAGCUGCAAGGAACUGAGUUUGGCCAGCAACCUAGGUGAAACUUGGUGGGAGGCUUCCCCAGUCAAGCCUCCAGAUGAGAACGUGGGCCUAGUGACAUUCUGACUGCAGACUGUGAGAUCUAGAUAAUCCUUUCCUAGACUCCUGACCCAGUAAAACUGUGAGAUCAUACCUGGGUUUUGUUUUAAGCUGCUAAGAUUGUGGCAAUAUGUUAGGUAGCAUAGAAAACUAAUACAGAGACCCCAUGGACAAGAGGAGAAACCUGGCCCUGCACUGUCCUACAGGCCCCUGGAGCUGCUCUGGCUGGCUUCCUCUACUCUGCUUUAAUCCAAUCCUUAGAUCCUCGCAUUGCACAGUUGUCACUGCUCUGCCUGGAAGUUGUCACUUCCUGCCCUGGGCAAAUGUGUUUACAACCUCCCUGAUUCCUGGAAUUCCUUAAAAUUGGAAAAACAACAGAGCAAAGUUGUUGGAAGCAAGAUCACAGACAAGGGGAGAUACCUGAAAAAUUGCAUAAGUUGGGCACUGUGGCACUGAAGGGACUAAAAGACUGUCCUCUCCCACCCCAACCCCCCUGCCCUUCCUUCACUAGCUCCCCUCCCCCACUCUCCCAUUCAUCCCCCCUGUUCUCUCCCAAGUACAUUUCUGGACCCCAAAUUACCACUGUUGGAGGAAUUGUCUCAAGAUAGUCCAUUUAAUGACAUAUGGUAACCUUCCAUUCUUUCAUUCAUUAGCUCAACCAACAGAUUUAAUUUCCUCAUCGGUAAAAUGAGUUCAAUAAUAGCACCUAACUCAUAUAAUUGUCAUGAGAGGAAAUGAGUUAAUAUAUGUAAAUUUAUGAGUACUGGAUUAGCACAUUGUAAAUACUAUAUAAAUGUAUACUACUAUUAUUGAUGUGGUUAUGGGGUUGCUAUUUAUUAUUACAGCUAGGCAGUGACCUAGACUUUGGGAAUACAGAUAUGUGUAAGACAUAGACCCUUCCCUGUCGCUUGUUCCUUAUCUCUCUGUUAGAGAGCUAAAUUCUAAACAGAGAGGUAAACAGGACAGGAUGUUUAUGGAGUGGGGGCUUGAAAUCAGCAAUGCAAAUUCUAGAAACACAUAAUGCACCCUGGCAAAAGCACACACAUCCUAGGUGGGUGAAGUCUGGAGGUGGAAGUCAUAGAAGAUAGGUGCAAUAGCACCCUAUGUAUUCUUCGGAUCUUAGGAGUCAGUUGGUGCUGAAGGAAAGGAGAUGGGUGAAGACGAACUCCACCUACAUUAUCAUUUUCACAGCAGCCAUCUGCUAAUGCAAAAAAAUGAAACUACAAACACUCACCAUAGCCAUAGGAUUAUUAUUCAUGGCAAAUAUACAUGGGUACAACAUGGUGGGGUGGGCUGCAGGGAAGACAGUGUAGCACAGAAAAGAAAAGUAGUGACUCUGUGGCAUCUUACUACACUGAUGGACAGUGACUUCCAUGGGGUAUGCGGGGGAGGACUUGAUAAUAUGGGUGACUGUAGUAACCACAUGUUUUUCAUGUGAAACCUUUAUAAGAGUGUAUAUCAAUGAUAGCUUAAUAAGAA